AUAGACGGGCCCAGCCCCAUGAUGCGCCGACCACAGCGGAUGGUGAUUCCUCUUUCUUCCCCGACGUUGCUGCGAGAGGUUGCUCCGCCGCCGCUACUCCCUACAUUCCCCAACUCCGGCACCACCGCCCCAGAUGGAGAGGAACAUGACGUUGUGCAGCGACUCCUCGGCUGCCCUCCUCCGCCUCUCCUUCUCGGCCGCCUUCCUCACCAUCGCCGCAGAGGAUCUCGCCCUCCCCGUCCCCACCGUCUGCGCUGCGGUCGGCGUUCUGGUUGUCCUUGCCAUGGUCGAGGCCGACUGCUGCUGCGCCCUUUCUUUGACGAACCUGGCACUGGCGGCGCCCUCCCGCACGGCCUGCGCCGCCCGCGCGCCCACCCAUCUGAUGUACUACCUACCCCCGUCCACCGCCCCCUUCCCCAAUAUUGUAUCAGCGGCGGCGGCGUUGGUACCCAGUUUCUCCAAAAUCCUGUGAUUGGCACGUCAUCUCAACCAUCCAUGAUACGCCUUGAUGGCAAAGGCUCUAGCAUCUGGAAUGGAUACUCUCUUCCCAAGCAGAAUUGAAGCUCAGUGCGCAUAAUAUUGGCACACACUGCACUCAUCAGCGGGGUUGGGUUGGGUUCUUAUAUUCUGCUCAGAAGAUGAUGAUAUUGCUCCAUGCCAUGUCAGGCGUUUGGUUGAACUAGGCACAUAUGUUAAAGUAAUGAAGUGGACUGGUUCCCCUCAUACUGGGCAUUACAAAUUACAUGAAGCGAAAUACAUAACUGAUGUAGAUGAUAUACUGAAGAAAGCUCUUGUCACCUUCUGCCAACGAUGUCAUGCCAGCUGAAUCACACGAGUGUUGCAGGUGAUCAGGAGUACAAGAUAGCGCACUGUGUGUGCAUCUACACAUUGUGGCUGCCAAUUCAAAUGAGAGCUUGAGAAGGGUAGCCAACCGUCCCAGCAACCCAUCAAAUACCUGUGUUGUUCAAGACUAUAAUUUGUCCGAGGCGUGCUCGGUUAGAUGUUACUGGCGACUGACCUCUGGGUUGUGCAUGUCACCGCGUGGCUGUGACCCCUGCUCUGUGCCAAAGCAGCUGGCAGUUACGGUGCCGAUGCCUGUCGUGGUUCCUACGCAACCUGGCUCCGACGAGAACGUCGAAUCACUGCCGGCUCCAAGCUCCCCCACGCACAAGCGCAUGCAGGAGUACAAUCUCAUUCUGCAUGUGAAGGAGGUCAUCGACUGCGGCCUUUUGAUGAUGGAGGGCACAGAUUUCUACCCUGACAAUGACGAAGACCUCCGCAAGCACAAAUUUAAGACCUAGUGUGGCAAGAUCGAUGGCACAGGUCCUGGUCUUUAUGGCGAGGCAUGAUUGGAAUUUGCUAUGAUCCUUCUCUCCGGUGUUUACUUCUGUUUGUAAUAUGUGGACUAGCUGUUUUUUUAUCGAGUUUGGUACUACCACUGUUUACUUCAGUUUGUCAAUCAAAUAAUUGAAAAAUCUGGCAGCUAA